rnacentral:rRNA from 1 species
UAUAAUUAAAAAAUUUUGGAAUAGUAAUAAUAAUGAAAUUUAACGGAUUUGGCGGCAAGAUAGCCAUUUAGAGGAACCUGCCCUAUAAACGAUGAACCACGAAAUACUUUGCUUUUACUUGUUAUCAGUUUGUAUACCGCUGUUGUCAGUCAGUUUUUUCAGAAAUCUUUCUAUAAUGAUAAAAUCAAUUACUUCAAGUAAAGGUGCAGCUUAUGUAAAAGAUAGAGGUGGGUUACAUUUAUAAGAUUAAAACGAAUAAAGAUUUUUUGAAAAAUUCUUUUGAAGGUGGAUUUAAAUGUAAAGUUUAAAAAAACUUGAUGUGAGCUCGAUCUUGU